CACCCGUUCCCAUACCGAACACGGAAGUUAAGCUCUCUAGCGCCGAUGGUAGUUGGGACCUUGUCCCUGUGAGAGUAGGACGUUGCCAGGC
rnacentral:rRNA from 3 species